ACCAGAUACAAGAAUUUUUUCUCCAGUUGCUUCAAGCUCAUCAUCGAACUCAAGAUCGUUGCAUUCUGACACAGGAAGAAUAGUUUCGGAUACCUCUAUAACUGUUCUGCAUAGGGAAUCAUUUUCCCGGAUACCUUCGAAUCGCUAAGCAUCAUCUAUCUCAUUUACCCGGGCCCGAUACCUCCCACUGGAAAUCAAAACCCCUCUGAUGUGGCUGACCACAUAGCUGAUUUCUUCAUCAAAAUCUCUUCAGACAGCUGAAGAAAGUGCUUCAGAGCUGAGAAGAAGCAACCUUUGAAUUCAAACCCCGAGGCGAUGCUGAGCAAUGCUAUCAAUGGAUAUGUGAAGAGCUGUGCAAUCAUUUCAAACCACACUAAGCUGAAAAUUUCCAGAGGUGCAUAUGUCACCAUAAGUAUUGAAAACUUGAAUCUCACUUUCAUUGUAACACACUUAAAGAGAGAGUAUAUGGCAGAAAGCAUGUGCUGAAUACAGUGUGAACCUUUCUUAUCAACAUCUCCUGAAGAAUAAUGGAUUGUCAUCAUAGUAGAUAAAGAAGAUUCAACACCUUGUUGACAAUCAAAGAUACUGGCAGUCUCAGACAGAUCCUUUUCAACAACAUAUAGUUCAUCACAAACACAAAAUGCAAG
rnacentral:sRNA from 1 species